GUCGCCCAGCGCAUCCAGGUAUAGCACCCGACUCGGAACCGCGCGCUGCUUCUGCUCUCUGAAUUUCUCUUCUUGUCCCUGGCGACAAUAUUAAUCAGUACCCAACAUUACAAUCGUCGUCCCUCGCCGCCCUCACCCUGUGGAUAAGCUCUGCUACCGAAACUGUUAUUAUGGCGUUUGUUUCUUGUAAAUCUGUAGUAACUGCACACUUCCUACUAGAUUGCAAUUUCAGGCUCCAUAAUGUACAGUUUACAUUUUUAUUGAGAUUCAUGAUGAAAAAAUCAGGGAACUGUUCUUUUUUUUCCUCAAGCGACAUCAGCAAAACCUUGAAAAAAAAUCCCCUUAGGACUUUCAUUUCUUGGACUGCAAUGUCAGCAAUUCAUUAGUUCCUCUAUUAGUAUUUGCAAACUGCAGUAUUUAUGUUCUAUCUAUGUUGGUGCAUGGCUGGGGGCGGGGAGGCGGGGAGGGCGAGUUGUUGGUCGCCUCCCCGAGCUUCUGCUGCCGGCGUUCAUGGGGAGGUCCUGCAGGCGACUUCCUCGGCCGCCUCCCCGAGAUACUACUGGCGGCAACGUCCACGACCUCCUGCCGCUCUGGCCUGCCUGUGAAGGCCGCACCCACCCUCAAGAACCUCCGGCUGGGUGAGCUACUUCUUCCCCUCCUAGAUCAAUUCUUGCUAAAAAUCAUUGUCUUUCUUUUUACUGUUCGGCUGAUUGUGUGGGCAGUGGCUUGAGCAUGCAGAUGUGCGCUGGAUGGAAAAUCCCUUCGAGUAAAUCCAGACGUGUUGUGUAGGCAGUAGUUUGACUAUGUUGAUAUUUACUAGAGGGUUUAGUCACUUGGUUAAUCGGCUACUACAUAUCAAUUGAGAUUGCACGGCUACUACAUAUCAAUUUCCUAUUAGUGAUAGUUAUAAAUGUUCACCUUUUUUUUGUUCGCUAUAUAUGAAAUUAUCUGCUAUAUGCAAAUCAUAUAAGUGCAGAUUAUUGCAAGGUAUUAACGUGUUAAACUCUAUUGCAACAAACUGCAGCUGCACAUCUUAUUUUCUAUAUCAGUUGGAAUAUGCACACUUUCAGCUUUUAUCGUAUUGGGUCCAUGAACAUCAAUCUCUGCAAACUAAAAAGGAGAACUGCACAUUAUAGUUAGUGCAGGUUAUAUUAUAUGGGUAUUUGUUCAUACACGUGCACAGAUUGCUGUCCAGAAUCCAUGGCCAGGAGACCUUGAGGUCAGAGUGCAAGAAGUUGUAGCUUCAGUUCAGAUAGAUUAGCGGGUCUAUGAUGCUUUUCUACUUGCUAAUUGCUUGCAUACUAAUCUCUGGGACUAUAUAGUAUAACCAGACCAAUGAAAUAUCUGCUUUUCAGUUAUUCUUCUUUGCUAGAUUAUUGUAUUUAGUUGCCUGAAAUUUUCCAUCUAAUUUCUUAUUUCUUGUCAAGUCCUAUAACUUUGAGUUGGAAUCGGAAGCUGGUAGGCUGGAAAGCAUGUAUCAUUAGGUAAGCAAGAUCUGUCCUUUGGAGCAGCUGAAUUUUGGUGCCUUUACGUCACACGAGGAAUCACUCGGUUCGUGAUUCGCGCCGCCAUCCGGCAGGAGCAGGCACCCUCGAUGUAUGUCGUGCCGCCUCCGCCUCCUCCACGCCACAACAUCCGUUCUACCCCGCAUCGCAGCCGCUGGUUCGGAAGGAGUGGCCGGUGCCCGACGGGAGCAGCGCAGCCAAGGAUCGCAUGGCCUCCGCGCGUUGUGCGUUCCAGCGACCGGUCGGGCUCUGUCGUCCUGCACAUCUCGGAUGCGUUGUGCUCGGCUUGCUGGCCUACUCCGUCUCUUCGUUGUCACCUACGACGCCGGCCAGCAGACUAGCAGUCUGCCCUCCUCUGCUUUUUCUUCUUCAAAUACCAGCAGGUUCUCUCUCUCUCUCUCAAAGGAACAAAGAAUCACAUAUGUGUUUGUGCAGAUCCUUUUCUAUCUAUGGCUUACAAGGUACUUGAAGAAAAUCCUAGCUAAUAUUACUAUUGACAGGAAGUUGCAGCCGGUGGUGGUGUUCCUUGGCAAUGACGAGUGGAACAAAUGAUGGAUUCUUCAAGAAAAUCCUAAACUGUACUAGCUAAUGUAGCCAUGUUUUCCUGAUGGUUGUUGCUCUAUCUGCGCAAUUUUCCUACAAUGCUUGAUUCUGCUGCUCAUCAGGGUCCUUUACUUGGUAUAACUCUGCAUAUAUUUUAUAUAUAGCCUAAACUGUGUUUUUAUUUCUGCCAGGUUGUGUUGAUGUUGUAGAUAUUGCUGCAAGCGUUUGUCUGAUGGGUAGUUGCUUCCCCUCGCUGCACGACCACCGUGUGUUAAUUCUUCAGUACAUGGUUUUUUCCCAGGUCAUUCCCUACAUGUUUUGUUUCUAAUAACGAUAUACCUUAUGUUUUUUAACCAUUUCGUGCACAUUCCUUUUUUAUCUCUUAUUUUCUUAUUGGUUCUUAUGUUCUCUACAAAUCUUGCUUUUGCUAAAGAUGUUUUCCUGGUUAUUACAUGUUCAUUAGAUUUUUUAUUCCUUAGAUGUAUAGAGUUUGACAACAUGAUUUGGUAGCAUAUAAGGUUCGAUAUGUGUGUUAUAUAUGACUGAAAUGGCAGUAAAUGCAUCUCUGGCACCACUCUUUGGUGUUUGCUUCUGUUGUAUGUGUAGGACGACGAGAUACCAGAUCCUGCACUGGUAUAAGUUACAGUUGCGCACUACAAUGACCAUCUUGGGCUACUUAGAAAAGCUGUUGUAUCUCGCGAACACCACUACCUUCUUCGUGAACUUAGAUGGCAAUCUGGUCUUAAUCUACUUGAGGUGAGGACACUUCUCUAAAUAUCAUCACUUUCAGAUUGUUUUUUUUUGGCUUACAUAUCGGUUUAGACUUUAGAUAAGAUGUUCAUUUCUUGAAUGUUGCGGGUUAUUGUGCUCAUCUGCCUAGCAGGCAUUGAAUUUUGUCACAGACAAUGGUAGGUCUGAUCACAAGGUGCAAUAGUUUCAUUCUAUAUUCAUUUCCAGUUGCACAACAUGUGCUUGAUGAACAUUUCAAUUGUUAAGUUGUAAGUAGACACUAGAGAUAGGCUCCUGAAAUUCAUUAUAAGGAUUUUUUUUCAAUUUCUAGGUAUCAAUAGUGCAGAACUAGAAAUUCCUAGCAAACAUAUACCUUUUAAGAACAAAAGAGCGAAAAUAGAUGGCCAGAAAAAUGGAUAUUUAUUUUUAUAUUUUUGUUGUAAUCCGUCACUUUUGUGCAGACCAUUUUUAUCUACUUCUCUUCAUUCUCUUGGCAAUGUCCACUUUUUAUUUUUUAAUUUGAUGGUCUUUUAGUUCUGUAUAGUUUGCUACUGAAUUGUUUUAGAACCAAUCGCAUACAUCUGCUUCUACAUGAUUAAUGAUGUGGCAGCAGGAGAGGUGUUAAAUUUUUGAAACCGUCUUAUUUCCAUCUACAGAUUACUAUGUUUACCUUGCAAUAUAAAUAUUUGGUAUCUAAUCUAAGUUACAAAUUAUUUUCCUUCAUCAUUUCAGGCUAAAAAAAAGCCAAUUCUCUGUUCAUGGUAGAAGGGAUGCUUGAAUCAGAUGCUAGAUAGUUGCAGUUUUCUAAGGAAAAUGGUUCCUACUGGAAAAUGAAACUCUUGAGCUACAUGGAUAUAUCGUUUCUUAAGACUGAGUUUAGUAUUUGUUUUGUCCAGGAAGCUAAUUUGUUGCAUUAUCUUAUAGAAGGACAAAAGAACAAAAAUGAAGCGUAUCCAGUUGCUUGCAAAUAUUUUAGCAUAAUGGAUGUUAUUUAACUCAGUGAGUAUCAGCGGCGAAUAUCUUCAAGCUAUCAUUGUUGGUUCUUAUGUUGUGUUGUAUGGUCAGUUUCCUUGACUUUCCCCUCUUAUAUGUACACUAUUUUCCCUUCGAAAAUUCUUGAGUCUACCAUAGUUCUAUCUGCAUUUCAUAUUGGGUACGCUCCCUAUUGUAUGUUGUUUCUAAAUUCUAUAUUGCAGAACCAGAGACAUGGAGAUGUAAACUAUGUUCACUGAUUAUUUUUCCUAUCUACGUCGUAAGCCUUUCUUCAUAUUUCUAAUAUUCCUAUCCAAUUCUAUUACCUUGUCUGGUAUAAUUUCUAUACUCUGCAUUGGGUAACAAACUUUCCUUGGUGUUCUGGACCUGCAUAGAUAAAUACUUUUUGGUAUAGCUCAAAACUCUGAAAAAUGAAUCCAAUGCCAUUUCAGGAAGUACUAAAAAAAUUGUUGUUAGGAACACCCUCUUAGGUUUAUACACAAUAAGUACAAUCAUGUUUUGUGAAACCGCCUUUACACUGAGAUUUUUUCAGAACUGGUAUAAGUAUAUAUGUUCAAGACUAAAUGCAAUGAAGAUUUUUAGGUUAAUAAAAAAGACUUUUGCAUUUCAUGGUGACGCUGACAGGGAUCUCUUUCAAGGGCGGCUUAGCUAAUAUAUUUCAGUAUUAAGGUCACAUGUUUCAGCCAAAUAAUCUGCACGAAGAAGCUCCUGAAUUUCACUUUGAUGAAGGAAAGCUGGACCGCAUCACUUCUGUGGGCACGCAAGAACACAACUAAAUUGAGCAGUAACAGCUAGAGUUCACUCGCAGCAGCAACAACUAAUUAAGUUAAUAUAGGAAUCAUUCACUGGCCUAAUUUUUCAGAGUGUGCAUCGAGUAUGCACCGACACGAGUUCCACGGACCGUGCAUCAAGGCGCACCCUUAAAUAUAACCAGCUUACCAUGCUUUGGAUUUUGACGGUUUUCGACUAAUUGUAUCAUAUAGUCAAUUUAUAUCUCAAGUCUACAAAGAACGCAUUCAUUUAGCAAAAGUUUUUUUUUGCUUUACCUGAUUUUUUCAUAUUGCCUUGUAUUUUCUUUAUCUGCUAACACGUGGUAUUCAUAAUUCAUUUUCUUGCUUCUAAAAUUAAUAUUGCAUAUAUUCUAUUUUAGUCUUUUGAUCUGCAACAUAGUUAAUGGUUGAAUCCUAUGUUUAUCAUGUCUAGCUAUUAGCAUUGUAUCACACAAUCUGGUUCAACUCUUUCUAUUUACAUAUGUUCAACACUACCCCUGUUGGGUUUGUCAAUAGAUUGUUGUCGAGGCUGAGUGUGUGCCCUCGAGCACAUGUAGCAAGAAUAACUAGGGUACUUUUUGUCCUUCGAGCAUAGUUAGUAUACAUCAUCCGCAAGUAAGACCUCCGGUGCUUUCCUUCUGAUAGAUGGCAUCACCUAUUCAUUUAUUGAUAUCAUUUUGAGAACAUAUACUUAGCGAUUUUUUGGUCUCGGUAGGACACAAAAUCUAUAUCCUUUAUCAAACUCCUACAAAACUAAUUAUAUAUUUUCUAAUAAUAUAUCAGCUAAUGCUUGUUUAAAACUACCUACAUUUUUAUUUAUUCACCUAUGGAGGCAACUCUUGAGGCUUGGGUUUCUUCUUAUGCUAUAUCUAAGUGUAAAUAGUACUCUUGAUUUACAAAUACUUUCAUCUGAUUACAAUAUUAGUAUAACAUUUCCUUUGUUCUCCAACAUUUUUUUAUUAUGUGGUGUUCUUAAUGUUGCUCUAAUUAUAAUAUUUAUUUGCUUUGUUGAGACUAAUGGAGGCCGUCAAGAUGGAGCCUCUAGAGCUCCAGACUGUCGAGAUCCUGCCCGGUGUCAUAGUAGAAGCUAUGUUGCAGUGCACCUUUCGGCGGUGCAACUAACUAUUAGAAUUAGGUUUUUUUUGUGUGUAGUGGCUUUCAAAGACUGAUUUGCGGCGAGCUUAUUUAGAUGUUACUUUUGUUAUUAUUAGCUUUAUUUUAUCUGUCUCUAAAAAAUCAUAAGAGUGUUAAUAUAUUUUGAUAUUUCCCUCAUUGUGUAUAAGCAUUGUUGUUCCAUUC